rnacentral:rRNA from 1 species
CGGAUUGCAGUCUGCAACUCGACUGCAUGAAGCUGGAAUCGCUAGUAAUCGCGAAUCAGAAUGUCGCGGUGAAUACGUUCCCGGGUCUUGUACACACCGCCCGUCACACCAUGGGAGUUGGAAGCGCCCGAAGUCUGUGACCUAACCGUAAGGGAGGAGCAGCCGAAGGUGAAGCCAGUGACUGGGGUGAAGUCGUAACAAGGUAAC